CCUACGGGUGGCAGCAGUGAGGAAUAUUGGUCAAUGGGCGAGAGCCUGAACCAGCCAAGUCGCGUGAGGGAGUACUGCCCUAUGGGUUGUAAACCUCUUUUGUCGGGGAGCAAAAGCCGGACGUGUCCGGCUGUGAGAGUACCCGAAGAAAAAGCAUCGGCUAACUCCGUGCCAGCAGCCGCGGUAAUACGGAGGAUUCGAGCGUUAUCCGGAUUUAUUGGGUUUAAAGGGUGCGCAGGCGGGGUUUUAAGUCAGCGGUAAAAUCGGGGGGCUCAACCCCAUCCAGCCGUUGAAACUGGGGAUCUAGAGUGUGCGAGAGGUAUGCGGAAUGCGUGGUGUAGCGGUGAAAUGCAUAGAUAUCACGCAGAACCCCGAUUGCGAAGGCAGCAUACCGGUGCACAACUGACGCUCAGGCACGAAAGCGUGGGUAUCGAACAGGAUUAGAUACCCUAGUAGUC
rnacentral:rRNA from 1 species